rnacentral:lncRNA from 1 species
UCACGCCUCCCAUCCCCAGGCUGCAGGUGUGCCGGAGCUUGACACAUUUAACAAAACCGCUGGAAACUGCUCUCAUCCGUGGCAAAAAGUGCUUUGGAAGCCUGGUUCGGAUCUGUGAGUUUCUGCCUCAUCUCUGGAACUGCCCUCAUCAGCAGAGUGAGCACUGAUGCCUGGAGUAGCAGACUGUGCAUAAGCAGACAUCUCUGUCUUUAUCUGCAGCUGCUGCAGGAAGUCAGCUGCAUGUCUGUGGUGCAGCUGCAAGAAUGACUUGACUGGUUUGCAUUCAUGGCU